rnacentral:lncRNA from 1 species
AUGACAAUGUUUGGUUUGUUUUAUUUCCAAGACGGCUCCGUUAGAGCAGAUAAUACAUCCGUCAUACGUGAUGCAUACAGAAAUAAAAAAAUAACGGUUAACUGCAGGGAAGACCUCGAGUCGGAGCAGGGCUGGAUAGAGGUAAUUUGGCCUACACAACGGCGACAACAAGAGGCGAAGCCUAUUGCAGCCACAUUGCUUUUCGUUGGAGACACGGUGAGGGAGAAAUUCCCCAACACCAUGGUUAGUGAGAUCCGGGCCCUGCUGCGGAGGAAAUGCAAUAAUGAGGGCUACACCAAGGUUGCUCCUCAGUAGCUUUAUUAUAUAUGUUAUAUAUGUCAGAUGUUUUAAAGUUAGGUGUUGUUGAAUGUAUGUUUGUAUUAAUAUUUAAAUUAAAGUUUUGGUUUGUACAAUUUAAGUGUUUUUUGUCAUGGAACAAAAUAGCACCCAUGGAGUGUACUAAAAUUGUACCAGAAAGAAGUGCAUGUGAAGUAUAAUAGUGAUGUAUUGUAAGUAUAUUUCUGUAGUAUUUAUAAAGUACUUAGUAGUAUAACAGUAUUGUACUUAAAAUACCCUUAAUAUACGCUUCCACUUUACAUUAUAGUAUAAUAACUAGACUUUAAGUACAUGCCUUUGAUGCUUAAAUUGUGAUAAAAAUGUACUAUAAAUCAAUAUUAAAUACUUAAACACUUGUAUUAACAUAAUGGCACACUUAAAAAGUACUAAAUAUAGUCAGAAAGUGUAUUUGAAUUGUAUUUGAAAUAUUAUAGAGGUAUGAUAAUAGUUUGUUCAAAAUACACUUAUUCUGUAGUAUAAGUAGUGAUAAAAUACACUUCCACUCUACAUUAUAGUAUUAUAACAUUAUACUUAAAGUACAUGCCUUUGAUGCUUAAAUUGUGACACAAAUUGACUAUAAAUACAUGAUAAAUGCAUUUUUAUUAACAUAAUGGCAGACUUAAAAAGUACUAAAUAUAGUCAGAAAGUGUAUUUGAAUUUAAUUUGAAAUAUGACAGAGGUAUGAUAAUAGUGUGUUCAAAAUAUACUUAUAUACUACUAUCAAUUGAACCAUAAUGCCUUUUUAAGUAUAUUUCAAACACACUGGUAA